rnacentral:rRNA from 1 species
GACGAACGCUGGCGGCGUGCUUAACACAUACAAGUCGAGCGGUAAGGCCCUUCGGGGUACACGAGCGGCGAACGGGUGAGUAACACGUGGGUGACCUGCCUCUAGCUCUGGGAUAAGCCUGGGAAACUGGGUCUAAUACCGGAUAUGACUCCACGGCGCAUGUUGUGGGGUGGAAAGCCUUGUGUGGCUAGAGAUGGGCCCGCGGCCUAUCAGCUUGUUGGUGGGGUGAGGCCUACCAAGGCGACGACGGGUAGCCGGCCUGAGAGGGCGACCGGCCACACUGGGACUGAGACACGGCCCAGACUCCUACGGGAGGCAGCAGUGGGGAAUCUUGCGCAAUGGGCGAAAGCCUGACGCAGCGACGCCGCGUGAGGGAUGACGGCCUGGUU